rnacentral:rRNA from 1 species
GACGAACGCUGGCGGCGUGCUUAACACAUGCAAGUCGAACGGAAAGGCCCUGCUUUUGUGGGGUGCUCGAGUGGCGAACGGGUGAGUAACACGUGAGUAACCUGCCCUUGACUUUGGGAUAACUUCAGGAAACUGGGGCUAAUACCGGAUAGGAGCUCCUGCUGCAUGGUGGGGGUUGGAAAGUUUCGGCGGUUGGGGAUGGACUCGCGGCUUAUCAGCUUGUUGGUGGGGUAGUGGCUUACCAAGCCUUUGACGGGUAGCCGGCCUGAGAGGGUGACCGGCGACAUUGGGACUGAGAUACGGACCAGACUCCUACGGGAGGCAGCAGUGGGGAAUAUUGCACAAUGGGCGGAAGCCUGAUGCAGCAACGCCGCGUGCGGGAUGACGGCCUUCGAGUUGUGAACCGCUUUCGCCUGUGACGAAGCGUGAGUGACGGUAAUGGGUAAAGAAGCACCGGCUAACUACGUG